CCCCUCUCAGGGUCGCACCCGGAGGGUUUCCAAUAUUCUACCAGUCUCGACUGUGGGGAGGGAGAGUCAAGCAGAGGCCUACCCAUUCCAUUCCUAGUUUGGACAGUGGCUAGCGAGGGGAAGGCGAUCUGCUACAAGU